rnacentral:rRNA from 1 species
UUGGAGGGCAAGUCUGGUGCCAGCAGCCGCGGUAAUUCCAGCUCCAAUAGCGUAUAUUAAAGUUGUUGCAGUUAAAAAGCUCGUAGUUGAAUUUCGGGAUCAGUUGGUCGGUCGUGCCUCGGUACGUACUGGUCAAAUUGAUUCCUACCUUCUGACGAACCACGAUGUCAUUAAUUUGGUGUCGCGGGAAAUCAGGACUGUUACUUUGAAAAAAUUAGAGUGUUUAAAGCAGGCUCGCGCUUGAAUACAUUAGCAUGGAAUAAUGAAAUAGGACGUUUGAUUCUAUUUUGUUGGUUUCUAGGAUCGACGUAAUGACUAAUAGGGAUAGUUGGGGGCAUUAGUAUUCAAUUGUCAGAGGUGAGAUUCUUGGAUUUAUUGAAGACUAACUACUGCGAAAGCAUUUGCCAAGGAUGUUUUCAUUAAUCAAGAACGAAAGUUAGGGGAUCGAAGACGAUCAGAUACCGUCGUAGUCUUAACCAUAAACUAUGCCGACUAGGGAUCGGAUGAUGUUAAUUUUUUAAUGACUCAUUCGGCGCCUUACGGGAAACCAAAGUGUUUGGGUUC